rnacentral:tRNA from 1 species
GCCCCUGUAGCUUAGUAGGUGCUUUUUGAGCUAACUCUUAAGGCUAUAAAGAGCGCACGGCUGUUAACCGUGAAAUCCAGGGAUUCGGUAAAGGUCACCAGUUCAAGUCUGGUCAGGGGCG